CCUACGGGUGGCAGCAGUGGGGAAUAUUGCGCAAUGGGCGAAAGCCUGACGCAGCGACGCCGCGUGAGGGAUGAAGGUCUUCGGAUCGGAAACCUCUGUCAGCAGGGAAGAACGGUCACUGUGCUAAGCAGCAGUGAAUUGACGGUACCGGCAAAGGAAGCACCGGCUAACUCCGUGCCAGCAGCCGCGGUAAUACGGAGGGUGCGAGCGUUAAGCGGAAUUACGGGGCGGAAAGCGCUCGUAGGCGGUAUGUCAAGUCAAGGGUGAAAGCCCCGCGCUCAACGUGGGAACUGCCUUUGAAACUUGCAACCUGGUGUGUGUGAGAGUAUAGUGGCAUUCCAGGUGUAGGUG
rnacentral:rRNA from 1 species